rnacentral:lncRNA from 1 species
GGGCUCAAUUGAAUAAUUUUAUAAUUAUGGUUCAUGCUUGGUUUUUAAAUAAAAAUUGAAGUGAAACACCGAUGAUAGUAUCAUUAUUUAAUGUACAGUCUAGUUUGAACCGAACAACUCCUUGGACGAGCGAAGCAAUCUUCAUUCACCCAUUAGUCGGAUUGACAGUAUUGACAUUUAUUAUACAAUUCAGUUUUAACCAGACAAGUCUCUAUGUACAACUCCAUGGGUGAGCAAAGAAAUCUUCAUUCACCUAUUAGUUGUAAAUGCCAC